UAACACAUGCAAGUCGAACGGACCUAGCCCGGUAGUAAUAUUGGGCGACGGUUAGUGGCGAACGGGUGAGUAACGCGUGAGCAACCUGCCUUUCAGAGGGGGAUAACAACUGGAAACAGUUGCUAAUACCGCAUAAUGUAUUUAGAUGGCAUCAUUUGGAUACCAAAGGUUAAAUCCGCUGAGAGAUGGGCUCACGUCUGAUUAGCUAGAUGGUAGGGUAAGGGCCUACCAUGGCUGCGAUCAGUAGCCGGUCUGAGAGGAUGAACGGCCACAUUGGGACUGAGACACGGCCCAGACUCCUACGGGAGGCAGCAGUGGGGAAUAUUGGGCAAUGGGCGCAAGCCUGACCCAGCAACGCCGCGUGAAGGAAUAAGGCCUUCGGGUUGUAAACUUCUUUUAUUAGGGACGAAGGAUGUGACGGUACCUAAUGAAUAAGCCACGGCUAACUACGUGCCAGCAGCCGCGGUAAUACGUAGGUGGCAAGCGUUGUCCGGAUUUACUGGGUGUAAAGGGCGCGUAGGCGGGAAUGCAAGUCAGAUGUGAAAUCCAUGGGCUCAACCCAUGAACUGCAUUUGAAACUGUGUUUCUUGAGUGAUGGAGAGGCAGGCGGAAUUCCUAGUGUAGCGGUGAAAUGCGUAGAUAUUAGGAGGAACACCAGUGGCGAAGGCGGCCUGCUGGACAUCAACCGACGCUGAUGCGCGAAAGCGCGGGGAGCAAACAGGAUUAGAUACCCUGGUAGUCCGCGCCGUAAACGAUGAAUACUAGGUGUGGGGGGACUGACCCCUUCCGUGCCGGAGCAUACGCAAUAAGUAUUCCACCUGGGGACUACGGUCGCAAGACUAAAGCUCAAAGGAAUUGACGGGGGCCCAUACAAGCAGUGGAUUAUGUGGUUUAAUUUGAAGCAACGCGAAGACCUUACCGGGGUUUGACAUCCGACUAACGAAGCAAGAUGCAUUAGGUGCCCUUCGGGAAGUCAGAGACAGGUGGUGCAUGGUUGUCGUCAGCCCGUGUCGUGAGAUGUUGGGUUAAGUCCCGCAACGAGCGCAACCCUCGUUGUUAGUUGCUACGUAAGAGCACUCUACGAGACUGCCGUUGACAAAACGGAGGAAGGUGGGGACGACGUCAAUCAUCAUGCCCCUAUAUCCGGGCUACACACGUAUACAAUGGCGCUAACACGGGAAGCGAAGGAGCGAUCCGGAGCGAAUCCCAAAGGCGUCUCAGUUCGGAUUGCAGGCUGCACUCGCCUGCAUGAAGUAGGAUUGCUAGUAUCGCGGAUCAGCAUGCCGCGGUGAUACGUUCCCGGGCCUUGUACACACCGCCCGUCACACCAUGAGAGUCGGGAACACCCGAAGUCGGUAGUCUAACCUGAUAAGGAGGGCGCCGCCGAAGGUGGGCUUGAUAAUUAGGGUG
rnacentral:rRNA from 1 species